CCUACAGGAGGCAGCAGUGAGGAAUAUUGGUCACUGGGCGCGAGCCUGAACCAGCCAAGUAGCGUGAAGGAUGACUGCCCUACGGGUUGUAAACUUCUUUUAUAAAGGAAUAAAGUGAGGCACGUGUGCCUUUUUGUAUGUACUUUAUGAAUAAGGAUCGACUAACUCCGUGCCAGCAGCCGCGGUAAUACGGAGGAUCCGAGCGUUAUCCGGAUUUAUUUGGUUUAAAGGGAGCGUAGAUGGGUUGUUAAGUCAGUUGUGAAAGUUUGCGGCUCAACCGUAAAAUUGCAAUUGAUACUGGCAGUCUUGAGUACAGUUGAGGUAGGCGGAAUUCGUGGUGUAGCGGUGAAAUGCGUAGAUAUUAGGAAGAACACCAGUGGCGAAGGCGGCUUUCUGGACUGAAACUGACGCUGAGGCACGAAAGCGUGGGGAGCGAACAGGAUUAGAUACCCGAGUAGUC
rnacentral:rRNA from 1 species